rnacentral:tRNA from 1 species
GCGCGCGUAGCUCAGCGGACAGAGCACCGGCCUCCGAAGCCGGGCGUCGGGGGUUCGAGUCCCUCCGCGCGCA